AAAAAAUAUUUAAAACAUAACAUGAUAUCACGUGCGCACGUGAGUUUAAUAACAAGUAAAUAAAUAGCUGAUCUUGUUGUUGGAAAAUUGUUUGAAAAUACGAUGCUUUAUGAAAUCUAAAGUUCAAAAAAAUUAUUUCAGGUUUAUAACUGCAAUUUGAAUUGCAAAGCAAUAAAGCUUGUGUGAUGGCAAUAAUGAACUCUUAUCAGAAAAAAAAUUGCAUAACUUAAUAUAAGACAAAUUUGUUGAUUAGCUCGCAACAUUGUUUUCAGACGAUAAAUAAAUCUAAAUUUUAUUUGGAAAAGAAGUAGAAUGCAACAUUCAAAAAGUGACUUUUAGAUCAAGUCUGUAUAUCUGUCGAAAACCAAUUUUGUCUAGUUAAAGCAAUGCUAUAGCCGAGCCCAUAUCUCAAUCUCUCUGAAUAUAUAUCUGUCAAAGAUUGAUCUACAAAUUUGGGCAUUUUCUUUAUUUCUUUUUGUUAGGCUUUACCUGAAUAUUUGCUGCCUAUUAUUUUUUUCAAAAAAAAUAUGACUAAA